UACGAAGGGGGCUAGCGUUGUUCGGAAUUACUGGGCGUAAAGCGCACGCAGGCGGAUUGGUAAGUCAGGGGUGAAAUCCCGGGGCUCAACCUCGGAAUUGCCUUCGAUACUGCCAAUCUUGAGUCCGGGAGAGGUGAGUGGAAUUCCUAGUGUAGAGGUGAAAUUCGUAGAUAUUAGGAAGAACACCAGUGGCGAAGGCGGCUCACGGGCCCGGUACUGACUCUCAGGUGCGAAAGCGUGGGGAGCAAACAGG
rnacentral:rRNA from 1 species